CCCCAGACUCCUACGGGAGGCAGCAGUGAGGAAUAUUGGUCAAUGGGCUUACGCCUGAACCAGCCAAGUCGCGUGAGGGAAGACUGCCCUAUGGGUUGUAAACCUCUUUUGUCAGGGAGCAAUUGGCGCUACGUGUAGCGUUAUCGAGAGUACCUGAAGAAAAAGCAUCGGCUAACUCCGUGCCAGCAGCCGCGGUAAUACGGAGGAUGCGAGCGUUAUCCGGAUUUAUUGGGUUUAAAGGGUGCGUAGGCGGUUUUUUAAGUUAGUGGUUAAACGUCGGGGCUUCACCUUGAUUUGCCAUUAAUACUGUAAGACUCGAGUUCAGACGAGGUAGGCGGAAUAAGUUAAGUAGCGGUGAAAUGCUUAGAUAUAACUUAGAACUCCGAUAGCGAAGGCAGCUUACCAGACUGCGACUGACGCUGAAGCACGAGAGCGUGGGUAGCGAACAGGAUUAGAUACCCGAGUA
rnacentral:rRNA from 1 species